AUCAGUGCUGUUUUUGAAUAGCUGGAGGGUUAGUGUCAUAUACCUUACUAUGUGACUACUCACCCUCCAGCUAUUCAAAAGCAGCAUUG
rnacentral:miRNA from 1 species